rnacentral:rRNA from 1 species
UACGGAGGGGGCUAGCGUUGUUCGGAUUUACUGGGCGUAAAGCGCACGUAGGCGGAUCGUUAAGUCGGGGGUGAAAUCCUGGAGCUCAACUCCAGAACUGCCUUUGAUACUGAAGAUCUUGAGUUCGGGAGAGGUGAGUGGAACUGCGAGUGUAGAGGUGAAAUUCGUAGAUAUUCGCAAGAACACCAGUGGCGAAGGCGGCUCACUGGCCCGAUACUGACGCUGAGGCACGAAAGCGUGGGGAGCAAACAGGG